GGAUGUGAGGGCGAUCUGGCUGCGACAUCUGUCACCCCAUUGAUCGCCAGGGUUGAUUCGGCUGAUCUGGCUGGCUAGGCGGGUGUCCCCUUCCUCCCUCACCGCUCCAUGUGCGUCCCUCCCGAAGCUGCGCGCUCGGUCGAAGAGGACGACCUUCCCCGAUAGAGGAGGACCGGUCUUCGGUCAAGGGUAUACGAGUAGCUGAGCUCCCCUGCUAGAACCUCCAAACAAGCUCUCAAAAAUGACAUUAAGGGCAUUGAGAUUAUUCACUGUGCCAUAUAACAGGAAAUAAGUCAAAUGGCUAUCUGGUAUUUUUU
rnacentral:snRNA from 1 species